CUGAAACAAGGGAUGUUUCCUGCCCGACUGACCCACUAUAUCUGUAUAUAAAUCAUCAUCUGGACCUUGAAGAGGAGGGAUGGAUGCUACCUCUGACCCUUCUCUGUCACAGCGUUGACUGAGUCAACAGACAAGUUAUCAUCUGAGGGACCUGAUGAUCUGUCCUGAACCUCGUGUUUGAGGAGAUGUUCCUGGAGCCACCAGACUCAAUUCACAGCAUGAGAAACCAGAGGAGGACUUUAUUGCUGGACAGGCAUCGAUGCUUCAGUCAGGCGAUGGUCUGAAGAAAACACAGCAUCAGAACGUCUCAGUAUCCACAGGAAAGACACGUCAGGAUGACCACUGUGACCUGAGAGCUCCAUUACCAGCUGAGACAGGAAACCCUUCGCUCUAAUGAAGGCCAGGAUCUGCACAGUUUAUAAACAUGUAUAAAUGUUAGCAACACAAGAAAAUUCUCUAUUUCACAGUCAAACUUAGUGUGGUGACAGAGUUGACAAUAUUCUCUGCAGUAUUUUGAAAGGAUAUUAAAUCUGCAGUGUUAGAGAAGACGCAGAUGUUUUGUUAUUGUUGUUAUGCACUGUAAAUUUAAUUAAAUGUAGUUAUAUUGUUUGCAGGCGAAUAUAUUACAGGGGUGAAAUUUUUAUUAUUAUUUAUUUUUUAUUGACUGGCAUAGUACUGUAGUUAUGUAGAGCCAUAUAAAACCACAUUGCUUUGAUAGCUUUGAAAGGUUAAAUGCUGAAAAAUAUGGUUUGAACCAGGAUUGGCCAUUAAACAAAAACAUGUUAUACAUUUUGGAAGUGAUCACAUCUAUUUUCUUUCAUAAAUGUUUUUCUUUUGGAUGCCAAAUGCUCCAGAGUGGAAUUAUUUGGAAACAACCCUGCACAACCACUGGAAUCUAAUUCAUGCAGGUUUGAAAAACCUUUCACAGCUUCCGUAUGGAAAUAAUUGUCUGAGAAGUAAAACAUUUUCUUAGGUGAAAGAUUGAAGUUACUCUGGGAAACAUGGACACGGUCCAGUCCACACAGUCGCUGCCGACAAUUUAUUUACCGAGCAGUUUUUCAACUGUAUAAGCAAGUUACUGUAUGAGAUCAGUAAUUCAACCCUCAGGUAUGUUGACCUGGUACAGGAUUAAGUCUAUUCCAAGCAAGUUACUGGCUCUUUGUCACUGGCCAGAAGUGACAAAUGUGCAGUUACACACGUAACAUAUGGGGACAGUUGCUACAGUAAUCAUUAUAUUAUCACUUUGAUUACUUUCGUACAUUUAUUUAUUUAUUAAAAAUAAUUACUUGAUGAA